ACGAUGUACACAUUUUUGAGUGCCU
rnacentral:rRNA from 5 species